UCAUUACUCAAUGAUUUAUUUCUCCAGAAAUUAGUCUGAAAACAUACUGCGUACAUGCAUACACAUGUAGGUACCAGAAUCGCCAUGCUGUAGCUCUUGGACAAAUAUAAUUCCCUUCUCAGAAUCUGUGUAGUAGGAACUGUCUUUCUAAGAAGGAAAGUCUCCAGUUUUUUGAUAAAAUGCAUUACAUAAUUGCAGUUCAUUGUUCUAGAAUAUUCCAGUUCAUUGUUGUCAAAGGUACAAGAAUGACCACCCACCUCCCCAAAAAAAGAUUGAUCUGUUUCACUCUCCAACUUUAGCUUGCUCUCUGAAAGGGAUUAUAUUUUAGGGAAUCAGAAAAUACACAAGUUUAUACAUAUGCAAUUGCAGGAUAAACUUGUUAAUCACUGAAAGGUCGAUGUACCAUUAAUGGCUGGAUCAGCAAAAGAAGCAAAUUUGAACAAAGGUAUCAGUGUACUUCAAAAAUGAAAACAUUUUGUGCUUAACUGUUAUGGAUGAAUAAUAGUAUAGAAAGUGUUUCAUCCAUCUGUGUGGAAGAAAUGAGAAUUAUCCAGAAUGUUAGAAAAUAGCAAAAGAAAUAGAGGGAGACAAGACAAAAUGCUGUGCAUCAGUAAUGUUUCAACUCAAUGAUCUGUUACUACACAGUCUGUAUUCUAUUAGCUUUAAAGAAGGCAACUAGUGCUGGAGAAUAUAAUCUGAUCGCAAUUCAGUCAAGUAAAGUUUGCCAAUUUCAACUUUUAUUAUUUUUUUUUGUUUAUUUCAUGAUAGCGAAUAAUGUGACAAAUGGGGUAUGCAAUGAAAUGUAUUUACCUUGUGUCCGAAGUGCAUUGAUUAUUAUUCUUGUGACCCUGCUGUGACAGAUGCAACACCUGCUGCUUCUCAUCUGUCUGCUCAGUCUGUUUGCUGUUUAGAUAGGAAUUACCUAAAAUAUUUGCUGGGGUUUCAAUCUCAAAAUAGUGAGCUAAACCUAAGUAAUCAAUUGUGCCCAUAUGACUCUGCCACACUGGAAAGGAUGUUUUUGUUCCCUUCCUGUAUUCCUGCCAAACAGCAGAGACAUCUUUUACCUCCCACUUCUUAAAAGUUAGAUCAGCCCUCAUUGUAGGCUGGAUUUUAAAAGCUAGUGUUUCGUUUUAUUAAACAAAGGUGAAAGUACUGCACAGUUCCAGCCAGAACUGCCAUUAGCACAUGCAAAUUCUAGUUUUAUUGGCUGAUGCACCUGGCAUUACUUUUACAGAAUUAAGCUAAAGCCAGUUUUAGACAGCACCAAAAUAAAGUCUUCAGACCUGCUGGGAGUGCAUUUCAGAUAAUAAAACUGUGACAUUUAUACAUGGAAGAGUGGACUACUUACCAGUGGAAGUACAGUGCCAUUACCUGUCAUUCAUAAAGUAAGAGUGCACUGAUGAAGACUGGCAUAAUAAAAUGCUGGUUCUACCACUUUCAUAAAGGUAUGAGGAGAAUACAAGUCAAAGGAAUGAAUCUGUAAACUCUUCACUCCAAAUGCUGGUGUUAUCUACUGCCUGCUUCAAACCCACUAGGAGCUCUCCCAAUCUUGAUAUAAAUGCCUACAAAAUAAACACUACUAUAUACCUGAAAGGACUGUAUACAUACUUCAACAAAAGUACAACCAUUGAUCAUAACUAUAUAUACAUUAACCCACAUAUACUUUGACAGUCUACAUGGACGGCACAAUAUUGCAGAGGUUAGGGUUGUUGUAACAAAGCUCUAGGCACUGAUUAAUAACUAUUAAUGCUUCAUUUACUAUUUCUGUCUGUUUAUAUUUCUACAGACAUGCUGCUUAGUGUCAUUUACUACUCAAAACUGUUCCUAGGGGUGGGUGGGAGGGAGGGUGUGUGUGUGUGUGUGUGGUGCUUGGUGGGCUCCCACAGAAAAAUUGGCCUUCUAUCUAGAGUAGGUAUUGACUUGUUUCUAGAGUUUCAUGAACAGGCACCUGAUUACUGCAACCCUUAUAUGAAUUAAGAUGUUAAUGAUGAUGAAUGGAGCUACUUUAU